rnacentral:rRNA from 1 species
UGGGGGGCCCUACGGGAGGCAGCAGUGGGGAAUAUUGCACAAUGGGCGAAAGCCUGAUGCAGCAACGCCGCGUGGGGGAUGACGGCCUUCGGGUUGUAAACCUCUUUUGGCAGGGAAGAAGCGAAAGUGACGGUACCUGCAGAAAAAGCACCGGCUAACUACGUGCCAGCAGCCGCGGUAAUACGUAGGGUGCGAGCGUUGUCCGGAAUUAUUGGGCGUAAAGAGCUCGUAGGCGGUUCGUCGCGUCUGCUGUGAAAUCCCGAGGCUCAACCUCGGGCCUGCAGUGGGUACGGGCGAACUAGAGUGCAGUAGGGGAGACUGGAAUUCCUGGUGUAGCGGUGGAAUGCGCAGAUAUCAGGAGGAACACCGAUGGCGAAGGCAGGUCUCUGGGCUGUAACUGACGCUGAGGAGCGAAAGCGUGGGGAGCGAACAGGAUUAGAUACCCUGGUAGUCCACGCCGUAAACGUUGGGCGCUAGAUGUGGGGACCAUUCCACGGUUUCCGUGUCGCAGCUAACGCAUAAGCGCCCCGCGUGGAA